rnacentral:rRNA from 1 species
GGGUGUGAUCAUACCAGCACUUAUGUACCGUAUCUCAUCAGAACUCCACAGUUAAACGUGUUUGGGCGAGAGUAGUAUUAGGAUGGGUGACCUCUUGGGAGGUCCUCUGUUAAACCCC